CCUACGGGUGGCAGCAGUGAGGAAUAUUGGUCAAUGGGCGCAGGUCUGAACCAGCCAAGUCGCGUGAAGGAUGACUGCCCUAUGGGUUGUAAACCUCUUUUAUAAGGGAAUAAUACUGACUACGUGUAGUCUUAUGCCCGUACCUUAUGAAUAAGCAUCGGCUAACUCCGUGCCAGCAGCCGCGGUAAUACGGAGGAUGCGAGCGUUAUCCGGAUUUAUUGGGUUUAAAGGGUGCGUAGGGGGGUUGUUAAGUUUUUUGUGAAACCUUGGGGCUUUAACUUAAUUUUGCAAUUAAGACUGGAGUACUAGAGUACAGACGAGGUAGGCGGAAUAAGUGAAGUAGCGGUGAAAUGCUUAGAUAUAACUUAGAACCCCGAUAGCGAAGGCAGCUUACUAGACUGUGACUGACGCUGAAGCACGAGAGUGUGGGUAGCGAACAGGAUUAGAUACCCUAGUAGUC
rnacentral:rRNA from 1 species